CCUACGGGGGGCUGCAGUGGGGAAUAUUGGACAAUGGGCGCAAGCCUGAUCCAGCCAUGCCGCGUGAGUGAUGACGGCCUUAGGGUUGUAAAGCUCUUUUACCCGGGAAGAUAAUGACGGUACCGGGAGAAUAAGCCCCGGCUAACUUCGUGCCAGCAGCCGCGGUAAUACGAAGGGGGCUAGCGUUGUUCGGAAUCACUGGGCGCAAAGCGCACGUAGGCGGAUCUUUAAGUCAGGGGUGAAAUCCCGGGGCUCAACCCCGGAACUGCCUUUGAUACUGGGGAUCUCGAGUUCGGGAGAGGUGAGUGGAACUGCGAGUGUAGAGGUGAAAUUCGUAGAUAUUCGCAAGAACACCAGUGGCGAAGGCGGCUCACUGGCCCGAUACUGACGCUGAGGUGCGAAAGCGUGGGGAGCAAACAGGAUUAGAUACCCUUGUAGUC
rnacentral:rRNA from 1 species